rnacentral:rRNA from 2 species
GGCAGGCCUAACACAUGCAAGUCGAACGGUAGCACAGAGAGCUUGCUCUUGGGUGACGAGUGGCGGACGGGUGAGUAAUGUCUGGGAAACUGCCCGAUGGAGGGGGAUAACUACUGGAAACGGUAGCUAAUACCGCAUAACGUCGCAAGACCAAAGUGGGGGACCUUCGGGCCUCACACCAUCGGAUGUGCCCAGAUGGGAUUAGCUAGUAGGUGGGGUAAUGGCUCACCUAGGCGACGAUCCCUAGCUGGUCUGAGAGGAUGACCAGCCACACUGGAACUGAGACACGGUCCAGACUCCUACGGGAGGCAGCAGUGGGGAAUAUUGCACAAUGGGCGCAAGCCUGAUGCAGCCAUGCCGCGUGUAUGAAGAAGGCCUUCGGGUUGUAAAGUACUUUCAGCGAGGAGGAAGGCGUUGUAGUUAAUAACUGCAGCGAUUGACGUUACUCGCAGAAGAAGCACCGGCUAACUCCGUGCCAGCAGCCGCGGUAAUACGGAGGGUGCAAGCGUUAAUCGGAAUUACUGGGCGUAAAGCGCACGCAGGCGGUCUGUCAAGUCGGAUGUGAAAUCCCCGGGCUCAACCUGGGAACUGCAUUCGAAACUGGCAGGCUAGAGUCUUGUAGAGGGGGUAGAAUUCCAGGUGUAGCGUGAAAUGCUAGAGAUCUGGAGGA